rnacentral:rRNA from 1 species
CAGCAGCCGCGGGAAAACGAGGGGGGCAAGCGUUGUUCGGAAUUAUUGGGCGUAAAGGGCACGCAGGCGGUUAUUUAAGUGAGGUGUGAAAGCCCCGGGCUUAACCUGGGAAUUGCAUUUCAGACUGGGUAACUAGAGUACUUUAGGGAGGGGUAGAAUUCCACGUGUAGCGGUGAAAUGCGUAGAGAUGUGGAGGAAUACCGAAGGCGAAGGCAGCCCCUUGGGAAUGUACUGACGCUCAUGUGCGAAAGCGUGGGGAGCAAACAGGAUUAGAUACCCCCGUAGUCCCUGUCUCUUAUAC